CUCCUCUCCCGGGUCUCUCUCCCUCUCUCUCUCUCUCUUUCUCAGACUCUCGAGCGCCGGCCCCAGGAUGACAAUCACAUCCCAGGCGCGCCGAUCUCUUCCAACUUUCCUUCCCUGCUAAGUCGGGGUGGAGUGGCAGUUCCGACACAAGGCGGGCCCCGGUGGGCCAGUCCGGCCGCCCCGAAGCACAAAAGGCGACCAGGCGGCGGAAGGCGAGCCGGCGAACGCUUUGCUCUGUGCUUGCCACAGUAAGCCGCGAAGUUAGCGGAUUUCUUGUUCGCUAAGAAGCUGGGUUCCGAGGCGGAUCGCCGCCUACUCUCCCCUGGUUUCUCCCCCCCAGCCAGGGAACCAGAGAGCGAGUUUGGAGACCUGAAAUGGAGGUCCCCGGGAGAGACGGAGGGAUGCCCGCGUCCAGGGCGCAGGGAGUGCGAGAUGAUUGUCCCUUUCCGCCAGCAGCAGCAGAAUCCGCAGUUCAUAAUGGAGCUAACUGUACUGGCUGUCGGAAGGAGGAGAUUCUGAAGAUAGGGAGAUUCAGCUGUCGGUCUUUGAAAUUUCCUGUGGUCUGUUCAACCUGGAUGCAGAGGACAUGGAGCAAUCAAGUACGCAAGAGGUCCAAGCGUGUUUUGGAUGUUCCCCUUGAUAGACUGCAGUAUUUUUCCGGUUAAGACCCUCAGCUGUCGUGCAGAAGAAGGUUAUUCUCUUCUUGGUCCAUCCAGUUUCCUUGAAAUGCUUAGUAUUGUAGAGUAUCACCACACAGUUUCUGUUUUCAUCCAAGCAUAGAAAGAAUAAAAUCAAUUCUAUACGUUGACUUCUUUUCCA
rnacentral:lncRNA from 1 species